GAGCAUCAGCAGCGGCCCCUGGAAUGUCCACAGCAGCAGCAGCGGCGGCGGACCCUGGUGUGUCCGCAGCAGCAGCAGCAGCGGCGGCCCCUGGAGUGUCCAGAGCAGCAGCAGCGGCCCCUGGUGUGUCCAGAGCAUCAGCGAACCCUGGAGUGUCCACAACAUCAGCAGGGGCCCCUGGUGUGUCCGCAGAAGCAAUAUCGGCCCCUGGUUUGUCCGUAGCAGAAGCAGCACCUGUUGUAUCCAUAGUACCUCAAAUAGCACCAAAAUCUGUGGCAAACUGUUGGAGACUGACACACUUAGACCAUAUAUGUGCCAGCAGGAAUAUCUGGGACUUCAAACUUCACAAAGGACUGGAGACACUGGUUAAUUCUGCAUUGGAUUCCACACAGUCCCCCCAUGAAGCCAUAGGUUCUGUGGGCGGGACUGUAUUGAAAAGGUCGGACUUCAUGUCCUUAGGAUUGGACCAAGAAGUCGAGGCAACAAUAGCCAACUGUUGCUUUUCAAUGAUAUGUAAAAUUGCGGCACAGCAGGGAAAGGAUGUCCAUGCUGUUGAUGCUUAUGUGGUGGCUCUCAAUGCGGACCCAUUGUUGUCUCUACCUGUAAGUGAUUUUUAUUUAUUGAUUCAUUUAUUUUGCUUUGAUGAAUUAUGGUAUAGAAAAGUAUCACUUGUUCUUGCUGCAUUUUUAAAAGUUCACAUUUACAGUAUGGCAGUGUGGCAGUCACUAUGGAAGAUUUUGCCCAAAAGUUUGGUUUCAGUAUUUAUUUAUUUUUUUAGUUAUUUUUGGAUCAUAGGCUGGGUAAACAUAGGCUCUUACCUUUGUAGCUUGGAUAUUACCCAUGUCGCUAUUGCUUUUCAUACACUUUUGCUUGAAUAAAGAUUUUAAAAAUUGCCAUGCAGGUUUCUUAAGCACUUAUUUCUUGAUAAAAACAAUAAAAUCCAGUGAAUUUUGCAAUGCAGUUGCUCAAAAACCUCAUUUUUGAGAGCAAAUCUUCCAGGCAACCACACAUAUACAAUAGUAAUUUUGACCUCUUAUCACCAAUAGUCAGAUGCAGCAUCAAAAGAUUGUAUCCUUUUCCCCGUAUGGAAACCAGGACACUGGCUCCUAUGUCAUGCUUGCUACAAGGCUUGUUCCAGGAUCCUGGAUAAUUGCUAGAAAUGAGG